ensembl:snRNA U6 U6 spliceosomal RNA
GUGCUUGCUUCAGCAGCACACAUAGUAAAAUUGGAACAAUCCGGAGAAGAUUAGCAUGGCCCCUGCGCAAGGAUGACACACAAAUUCGUGAAGUGUUCCAUAUUAAA